AUGCACUGCAGUGCAGAAACAGGUACAGUGAAAUCAAUUAUGCAGGUUCUUGAAGGAAAAAAAUCAUGGAUGACAACAAUGUAUGAUUUACCAGACCAAGGGAUACCAAUGUUUUUUGAUGGUACUUGCUCCAUCUACUCAGCUUACUGUGAGAGAGUUAACACCUUAUUGACAGAUCUUUCAAGAAGAAGAAACGCUUGAGAAGGGUUCAAUAGUUUAAUUUUAUAGAUGGCAAGUAUUGCUUAGACCUAAAGUAUUCUUUAAUUGUGAAGAAAACAAACAUAAGGGUGUUUGGCAAUUCAUAACUAUUAACUGUGAUUGCAUUGUGUAUUUUUAAAAUCAUUCUUUGGUAUGCUUCAAACUCCAAAGUAUUUAUGAAAACAUUGACUAUAUUUAUC